rnacentral:tRNA from 1 species
AUUUAAAUAGUUUAAUAAAAAUAUUGAUUUGUGGUGUCAAUGAUAAGAGUAUUAUCUUUUUAAAUC